AUGCAAGUCGAUCGGGUGUAGCAAUACACCAGAGGCGAACGGGUGAGUAACACGUAUCCAAUCUGCCCUAUAGCGGGGGACAACUAGUCGAAAGAUUAGCUAAUACCGCAUAACAAGUAACUUAUCGCAUGAGAAUUACUUUAAAGGUCCGUUUGGACCACUAUAGGAUGAGGGUGCGGCAUAUCAGCUAGUUGGUGAGGUAACGGCCCACCAAGGCUAUGACGUGUAGUUAUGCUGAGAGGUAGAAUAACCACAAUGGGACUGAGACACGGCCCAUACUCCUACGGGAGGCAGCAGUAGGGAAUUUUUCACAAUGGACGAAAGUCUGAUGGAGCAAUGCCGCGUGAACGAUGAAGGUCUUUAUGGAUUGUAAAGUUCUUUUAUUUGGGAUGAAUGAUUAGCAAAGGAAAUGUUGCUAGUUUGACCGUACCAUUUGAAUAAGUAACGACUAACUAUGUGCCAGCAGUCGCGGUAAUACAUAGGUUGCAAGCGUUAUCCGGAUUUAUUGGGCGUAAAACAAGCGCAGGCGGAUUAGAAAGUCUGGUGUUAAAAUCAACUGCUUAACGGUUGAAUGCAUUGGAAACUUCUAGUCUAGAGUAUGGUAGAGAGUUCUGGAACUCCAUGUGGAGCGGUGGAAUGCGUAGAUAUAUGGAAGAACACCAGUUGCGAAGGCGAGAACUUAGGCCACUACUGACGCUUAGGCUUGAAAGUGUGGGGAGCAAAUAGGAUUAGAUACCCUAGUAGUCCACACUGUAAACGAUGGAUGUUAAGUGUCGGGGCGAUCACCUCGGUGCUGAAGUUAACACAUUAAACAUCCUGCCUGGGUAGUACAUUCGCAAGAAUGAAACUCAAACGGAAUUGACGGGGACCCGCACAAGUGGUGGAGCAUGUUGCUUAAUUCGACGGUACACGAAAAACCUUACCUAGACUUGACAUCCUUGGCAAAGCUCCAUAGAAAUAUAGCGGAGGUUAACCGAGAGACAGGUGGUGCAUGGUUGUCGUCAGCUCGUGUCGUGAGAUGUUGGGUUAAGUCCCGCAACGAGCGCAACCCCUUAUUGCUAGUUACUUUGUCUAGCGAGACUGCCAACGUAAGUUGGAGGAAGGUGGGGAUGACGUCAAAUCAUCAUGCCCCUUAUGUCUAGGGCUGCAAACGUGCUACAAUGGCCAUUACAAACAGUUGCCAAACCGUAAGGUGGAGCUAAUCUGUAAAGAUGGUCUCAGUUCGGAUUGAGGGCUGCAAUUCGCCCUCAUGAAGUCGGAAUCACUAGUAAUCGCGAAUCAGCUAUGUCGCGGUGAAUACGUUCUCGGGUCUUGUACACACCGCCCGUCAAACUAUGAGAGCUGAUAGUGUCUAAAACCGUGUUGCUAACCGUAAGGAAGCGCAUGUCUAGGGCAAGAUCGGUGAUUGGAGUUA
rnacentral:rRNA from 1 species